rnacentral:rRNA from 1 species
UGGGGAAUAUUGCACAAUGGGCGAAAGCCUGAUGCAGCAACGCCGCGUGAGUGAUGAAGGCCUUCGGGUUGUAAAGCUCUGUCUUUUGGGACGAUAAUGACGGUACCAAAGGAGGAAGCCACGGCUAACUACGUGCCAGCAGCCGCGGUAAUACGUAGGUGGCAAGCGUUGCCCGGAUUUACUGGGCGUAAAGGAUGCGUAGGCGGAUUUUUAAGUGAGAUGUGAAAUACCCGGGCUUAACUUGGGUGCUGCAUUUCAAACUGGGAAUCUAGAGUGCGGGAGAGGAGAAUGGAAUUCCUAGUGUAGCGGUGAAAUGCGUAGAGAUUAGGAAGAACACCAGUGGCGAAGGCGAUUCUCUGGACCGUAACUGACGCUGAGGCAUGAAAGCGUGGGUAGCAAACAGGAUUAGAUACCCUGGUAGUCCACGCCGUAAACGAUGAGUACUAGGUGUAGGAGGUAUCGACCCCUUCUGUGCCGCAGUUAACACAAUAAGUACUCCGCCUGGGAAGUACGAUCGCAAGAUUAAAACUUAAAUGAAUUGACGGGGUCAUAGCUGUUUCCU